UACGAAGGGGGCUAGCGUUGUUCGGAAUUACUGGGCGUAAAGCGCACGUAGGCGGAUACUUAAGUCAGGGGGUGAAAAUCCCCGGGGGCUCAACCCCCGGAACUGCCCUUUGAUACUGGGUAUCUCGAGUCCGGAAGAGGUGAGUGGAAUUCCGAGUGUAGAGGUGAAAUUCGUAGAUAUUCGGAGGAACACCAGUGGCGAAGGCGGCUCACUGGUCCGGUACUGACGCUGAGGUGCGAAAGCGUGGGGAGCAAACAGG
rnacentral:rRNA from 1 species